rnacentral:rRNA from 1 species
GGGGCUUGACGGUACCGUACGAAUAAGGAUCGGCUAACUCCGUGCCAGCAGCCGCGGUAAUACGGAGGAUCCGAGCGUUAUCCGGAAUCAUUGGGUUUAAAGGGUCCGUAGGCGGGCGUCUAAGUCAGUGGUGAAAUUCUGCAGCUCAACUGUAGGACUGCCAUUGAUACUGGUCGCCUUGAAUUAGUGUGAAGUGGCUAGAAUAUGUAGUGUAGCGGUGAAAUGCUUAGAUAUUACAUAGAAUACCGAUUGCGAAGGCAGGUCACUAACACUAUAUUGACGCUGAUGGACGAAAGCGUGGGGAGCGAACAGGAUUAGAUACCCUGGUAGUCCACGCCGUAAACGAUGGAUACUAGCUGUCCGGCGCACAUUGGUGUGCUGGGUGGCCAAGCGAAAGUGAUAAGUAUCCCACCUGGGGAGUACGUUCGCAAGAAUGAAACUCAAAGGAAUUGACGGGGGCCCGCACAAGCGGUGGAGCAUGUGGUUUAAUUCGAUGAUACGCGAGGAACCUUACCAGGGCUUAAAUGUAGUCUGACAGAUUUGGAAACAGAUCCUUCUUCGGACAGACUGCAAGGUGCUGCAUGGUUGUCGUCAGCUCGUGCCGUGAGGUGUCAGGUUAAGUCCUAUAACGAGCGCAACCCCUGUCGUUAGUUGCCAGCAUGUAAAGAUGGGAACUCUAGCGAGACUGCCGGUGCAAACCGUGAGGAAGGUGGGGAUGACGUCAAAUCAUCACGGCCCUUACGUCCUGGGCCACACACGUGCUACAAUGGCAGGUACAAUGGGCAGCCACGCCGCAAGGCGGAGCGAAUCCACAAAACCUGUCUCAGUUCGGAUCGGGGUCUGCAACUCGACCCCGUGAAGCUGGAAUCGCUAGUAAUCGGAUAUCAGCCAUGAUCCGGUGAAUACGUUCCCGGGCCUUGUACACACCGCCCGUCAAGCCAUGGAAGCUGGAAGCACCUGAAGUCCGUCACCGCAAGGAGCGGCCUAGGGUGAAGCUGGUAACUGGGGCUAAGUCGUAACAAGGUA